rnacentral:tRNA from 1 species
GGGCUGGGGCUCAGUGGCAGAGCACUUGCCUAGCAUGCGUGAGGCACUGGGUUCGAUCCUCAGCACCACA